UGUGUAGGCGGUUCUUUAAGUUUGGUGUGAAAUCUCCCGGCUCAACUGGGAGGGUGCGCCGAAUACUGAGGGACUCGAGUGCGGGAGAGGAAAGUGGAAUUCCUGGUGUAGCGGUGAAAUGCGUAGAUAUCAGGAGGAACACCGGUGGUGUAGACGGCUUUCUGGACCGUAACUGACGCUGAAACACGAAAGCGUGGGUAGCAAACA
rnacentral:rRNA from 1 species